ACGCUCGACACCUACGGGAGGCAGCAGGUGGGGAAUAUUGCACAAGUGGGGGAACCCUGAUGCAGCGACGCCGCGUGAGUGAAGAAGUACUUCGGUAUAGUAAAGCUCUAUACAGCGAAGGGGAAAGAAAAUGACGGUACCUGACUAAGAACGCCCGGCUAACUACGUGUCAGCAGCCGACGGUAAUCGUGAGGCGGCGUGGACGAAGGC
rnacentral:rRNA from 1 species